rnacentral:rRNA from 1 species
AACGAACGCUGGCGGCAGGCUUAGCACAUGCAAGUCGAGCGCCCCGCAAGGGGAGCGGCAGACGGGUGAGUAACGCGUGGGAACCUACCUGAAGGUACGGAACAACUCCGGGAAACUGGAGCUAAUACCGUAUGUGCCCGAAAGGGGAAAGAUUUAUCGCCUUCAGAUGGGCCCGCGUCAGGUUAGCUAGUUGGUGGGGUAACGGCCCACCAAGGCGACGAUCUGUAGCUGGUCUGAGAGGAUGAUCAGCCACACUGGGACUGAGACACGGCCCAGACUCCUACGGGAGGCAGCAGUGGGGAAUAUUGGACAAUGGGCGCAAGCCUGAUCCAGCCAUGCCGCGUGAGUGAUGACGGCCUUAGGGUUGUAAAGCUCUUUCGACGGGGACGAUAAUGACGGUACCCGUAGAAGAAGCCCCGGCUAACUUCGUGCCAGCCGCCGCUGUAACAC